rnacentral:rRNA from 1 species
UACUAGAGUAGCACUCGCAUAUCAAUAAGCGGAGGAAAAGAAACUAACAAGGAUUCCCCUAGUAACGGCGAGUGAAGCGGGAAGAGCUCAAAUUUGAAAUCUUAAAGGGUUUCCCUUUACGAAUUGUAGUUUAAAGAAGUGUUUUCUGUUGAGGUUUUGGUAAAAGUUCUUUGGAAUAGGACAUCAUAGAGGGUGAGAAUCCCGUAUUUGACCUUUACUUUCAACUUUGUGAUACACUUUCAAAGAGUCGGAUUGUUUGGGAAUGCAGUCCAAAAUGGGUGGUAAAUUUCAUCUAAAGCUAAAUAUUGGCGAGAGACCGAUAGCGAACAAGUACCAGUGAGGGAAAGAUGAAAAGAACUUUGAAAAGAGAGUUAAACAGUACGUGAAAUUGUCAAAAGGGAAGCGUUUGACACCAGUGUUGUUUUUCUGAAAAUCAAUUAAAGAACUGUUUAUGCUAAGCUGUUUAGACUUUAUCAGCUAUCUGUUUAGUUUUGAGCUUUUCUUUAAUGCACUUUUCAGUUAACAAGUCAACAUCAAUUUCUUUUGCUGUAAAAAAGCUUGAGGAAGGUGGCUUGAGAUUCGUCUUAAGUGUUUAUAGCCUCUUGCCUAUGCAGUCGGAGAGAUUGAGGUCUGCAGCGUAGAUCCUUCGGGGCUAGAUGCAUUUGUGCUAAGUUAUAGCAUUUUAUAGACAACUUGUUGACUAUGAUUUGUCUUGUAGCUUACUCGCUUAUGUUAUUUUACCUACGCUUAGGAUGUUGAGCGCAUGUCUCUCUCU